UAUGGUUAUAAGAGUUAUAGUUUAAAUUAGGUUUUUGAUGAAUAAGAGGUGAAAUUUGGAUUUUUGUGUAGAAAUUUGAUUUAGGUUGAAUGUAAUUAUAGGUUGGUAAGUUGAUAUUAAAAGACCGGGAUUAGAUACCCCGUUAUUAUUAAUAAAAUUAAAGUUUUGGGGUAGUAAUUAGUUAUGGUCUUGAAACUCAAAGGAUUUGGCGGUAAUUAAGUCUUGUUAGAGGAACCUGUGCCGUAAACGAUAAACCACGAGAAUCUAGCUUUAUUUUGUUUAUAUCAAUAUGUAUACCGCCAUUAUUAGAUAAUUUCAAAUGGAAUUUGUCGGGAUUUAAAAUUUAAAGUAUAUUAGGUCAAGGUGCAGUUAAUAAUAAAGUUGGGUUAUGGGUUACAAUUAAUUAUAUUAAUGAUGGAUAAGUAUUUGAAAUUUAAUAUUUUGAAGGUGGAUUUAAUAGUAAAUUGGGUGGAUUAAGCCUUUUUGAUAAAAGCUCUUAAUUAUGUACACAUCGCCCGUCGCUCUCGCUUU
rnacentral:rRNA from 1 species